AGAGAAAAGAGGAAAAAGAGGUGGGGAGUCUUUGUUGCGUUUGAGUUCCUGGUUCUAGUUAGACCUGAGGUUCUGUAUCCCUGCUUUUCCUUUAAUUUGUUAAGUAAGGCAGAGAAUCCCUAUUUUGAGACUCUUGAGUUAGGUUUUGCCCUUUUCAGCCAAAAGGAGACUUGAUUAAUAUAGCCAGAUUUCACGUUCCUAAAAGUCAUGUAGUAUUUUUAUUUGCCUGGUUAAUAAAGCCUCAUUCAGACCAAAGCCCUAUAUCUAUGUAGGACUUUGUUGCCGUUUUCAACUUUGGGUCCAGUAAUAUUUCCUUUACACCCAGAAUGCUCUAGGAGAUUAUAGAGGACAAUGUUAAAUAACUAUAGUAACAUAUUUCUACGUUGUAUGGGUAGAGAAAUUUCCAGGCCUCUAGUGUCUGGGAAUUUUAGAAGUGAGGUGCCGUAUUAUGCAUUCGCAAGUAAUUUUUACUGGUAGAAUCCAGGAUGGAAAGCUGUUGUUGUAUUCAGAAUGUGUUCAGAAUACAGUAGUUAGUUUUUCUGUAACAGUUCAAAAGGAAGUAAUAGAGUGAGCCACCCCAAGGCUUGUACUUAGUUUAGACAAGACAGUAAAAGGGUUUACCUACCUCAUAAGACCCUACAUCUUUUCUCUGUAGCACUGAAAAAAGGCCCUUAACCCACUGAGCGAGGCCAGGGAUCGAACCCUCAUGGAUACUAGUCAGGUUCGUUAACCAGUGAGCCACAACGGGAUCUCCAAGCAAUUCCUUCUUAAUAUUGACUCUAGGACAGGAGGAGGGUGCAGUUAGGAACGUGAACAAGAAUUGAGGUGGGAAGAGGAGUUGUUGGGGUGGAGAGGAGUAAUCUAGGCCUUGAGCUGGGCCUCUAGAGCAGCCUCCUAACUGGCCCCCACACGUGCAUUCUUAUCCUUACCAGUCUCUUCUCCACAUGCGGGCAGAGGGGCCUUUCUGCGAAUGGAAGCUCGCCUUCGCUCCUGGUUACGACAGCAGGCAAGGAGGGCUCUCGGGGCGGGGCUCCGUCAUCAGCCUCCAGCCACCAGAGCAAAGAUGGGUUGAGCCUCAGGUACAUGCCAGGCAUUGUUCCGAGCCCUUUGCUUGUAUCAGGGCAGCCAGUCCUCACCGCAGCCCUCAUGCGUUACCCAUUUAGUAGAUGAGGAAACAGGUGCCCAGAGGGAAAGUAACUCACCUGAGGUCACACAGCCAAGUGGGUGGGGAAGGAAAUACUCAGGUCCAGGCUGUACAGGUGGAAGGCACCUCAUACUCCAGUGCCAGGCUUCAGGUGCCUCAUUCUGGGAUUUGGUCAGUCCUGCGAAUCCGCCACAUUGUCCAUAGUACAUACAGGACUUGUCACCAGUGGUUUCCCUCUAUCUGGACCUCACCUGCCCUCUCAACUCUUGUUCAUCCUCAGGGCUCAUUUCAAAUAUCACCUCCUCGGGGAGGGUGUUCUGAGCUGCUCACACACAGGACAUAUUCUAUUUUCUCAUUAAUGCAUCCCCAGUGCCUAGUAGAUAUCAAGCCCAAAUAAAUAUCAUUUGAGUUAAUUAAUAAGCCUCCUCAAAGUUUAGUUAAGGAGAACGUCCCGUUUCUGGUAAUGGCAGGCUAGGACAUUUGGACUACCCAGCCUACUGAGAACAGCCAUUUAUUUUGAUGCAAUAUACCUUAUUUAUGACUACAGAGAUUUCAGAUAUUCGAAGGGCUAUUGUAUGAAGAACUAUACCUAUUCUUUUAGACCAUAGAGGUCAGAAAUUGGUCAGGUUUUUUUUUUUUUUUUUUUUUUUUUCUUUUUAGGACCGUACCUACAGCAUAUGGAAGUUCCCAGGUUAGGGGCUGAAUUGGAGCUACAGCUGCUAGCCCACAUCACAGCCACAGCAAUGUGGGUCUGAGCUGU
rnacentral:lncRNA from 1 species